rnacentral:piRNA from 1 species
UGCUAAGCUACAACCCCAGCCCAAUG